CCUACGGGUGGCUGCAGUGGGGAAUUUUGCUCAAUGGGCGAAAGCCUGACGCAGCAAAGCCGCGUGAACGAGACGCCUCUUGGGGUGUAAAGAUCUGUCAGUGGGGACGAAAAAUGACGGUACCCACAGAGGGAGCACCGGUUAACUCAGUGCCAGCAGCCGCGGUAAUACGGAGGGUGCACGCGUUGUCCGGCAUCAUUGGGCGUAAAGCGUUCGUUGGCGGGAUUUAAGGUUAGGUGGUAAAGUCGCAGGUUCAACCUGUGUAUGGCAGUUGAUACUUGCGAUCUGGCAUGCGGUAGAGGUAAAGGGAAUGCCUGGUGUAGCGGUGAAAUGCAUAGAUAUCAGGAGGAACAUCGGUGGCGUAAGCGCUUUACUGGGCCGUAAUUGACGCUGAGGAACGAAAGCCAGGGUAGCAAAUAGGAUUAGAUACCCCGGUAGUC
rnacentral:rRNA from 1 species